rnacentral:tRNA from 1 species
GCCCGGGUGGCGGAAUUGGCAGACGCGGCAGACUCAAAAUCUGUUGGUGGUAACAUCGUGGGGGUUCAAGUCCCCCCCCGGGCA